GCUCAGUCCUUUGGAUAUUAAUCUGACUGGGUUGGCUGGUGCACCUAAAUAAUACAUAUAUCCUCCUCAACCCCAUCGGUCUCUCUGAUUCCUAAAUCAUCCCCAAACAUUUCUGGUGGCCCAUAUGGGGAUUGGAGAUAACAGAUUUACUGUCUCCUUUGCCCAUGGGACUAGGGCCCUGGGGCUGUGGAAGACCUGGCAUCCAAGGCAUGCCAUGGGGGAGUUUCACCCGGAUGGAGACUGGCUCUCCCCGCAUCCUGCCCAGCAGUGCAACUGAACCUGAGAUGGGGCUGCAGGAUGACACCAGCACUUCAGGAACCGCGGAGUUCAGGAAACAGAAGCCAUGCCAUGUGAAAAACUGCUUAUGAACUUCACCGAAUUACCCUGUGAUGGGGGCUAUCAGUACAUGUUGGUGUUCACCUUUUCAGGAUAAGUCAAGGCCUUCCUCACCGGGACAGAGAAGGAACUAGAGGUGACCAAAGUGUUGUUAAAAGACAUUAUUCCCAGAUUUGGACUGCCUCUAACUCUAAGAUCUCACAAUGGACCAACAUUUGUGGCUGAAAUAGUUCAGGACUUAACUUGACUAUUAAAAAUAAAAUGGAAAUAACAUAUAGCCUACAGACUGCAGAGCUCAGGUAAAGCGAAGAGCAUGAACCAGACACUAAAACAACUGCUGAAGAAAUUGUGUCAAGAAACUCAUCAAAGGUAGGAUCAGGUCUUGCCCAUGGUCCUCCUCCAAGUCAGGUGCACCUCCACCAAGCAAACUGGGUAUUCCCCCUCUGAGAUUUUGUUCAGCCGGCCACCCCCCAUCAUCUGUAGACUAGAAGAAGUAACUUUAAGAAGGCAAAUGCAGACUUUAAGUAU
rnacentral:lncRNA from 1 species